rnacentral:tRNA from 1 species
CCAUCGGUGGUUCAGUGGUAGAGAUGCUCGCCUGCCACGCGGGCGGGCCCGGGUUCGAUUCCCGGCCGAUACA